rnacentral:lncRNA from 1 species
ACCUCCUCUCAUGAAUUACGAAUGUUCUUGAUGGCAUCUAGCAUGGCGACUCCUUUCCAGAGGUUUUCAAUUUACUUUGUCCAGAUCCAUCAGAGGCAUUACUGUGGCAGCUAUAGCCUUACGAAAUGUGUUUCUUAAAUAAUAGUAAGACUUGAAAGUUGAAAUCACGCCUUGAUCCAUGGGCUUCAGAGUGGAUGUUGUAUCUGAAGGCAUGAAAAUAUUAAUCUCCUUGUGCAUCAGAGCUCUGAGGUGUUUAGGUGUACCGUCAAUGAACAGUGACAUUUUGAAAGGAAUCUUUUUUCGGAACAGCAGGUCUCAGCCCUGGGCUUAAAAUACUCAGUAAACCGUGCUAGAAACAGAUGUGCUGUCAUCCAGGCUUUGUUGUUCCAGUUACAGAGCACAGGCAGGGUAGAUUUCACACAAUGCUUAAGGGCCCCAGGAUUUUCAGAAUGACAAAUGAGCACUGGCUUCAAUUUAAAGUCACCAGCUGCAUUAGCCCUAACAAGAGAGUCAGCCCGUCCCGUCAGCCUGUCCCAUCAGCCCGUCCUGUCAGCCUGCAUCCGGUCAGCCUGUCCUGUCAGCCCGUCCCGUCAGACUGUCCCAUCAGUCAGCCUGUCCCAUCAGCCUGUCCCGUCAGCCUGUCCUGUCAGCCUGUCCCGUCAGCCUGUCCCAUUAGUCAGCCCGUCCCGUCAGCCCAUCUCGUCAGCCCGUCCCAUCAGCCUGUCCCGUCAGCCUGUCCCAUCAGUCAGCCCAUCCCGUCAGCCCGUCUUGUCAGCCUGUCCUGUCAGCCUGUCCCGUCAGCCUAUCCCAUCAGUCCGUCCCAUCAGCCUGUCCCAUCAGUCAGCCCGUCCUGUCAGCCUGUCCCGUCAGCCUGUCCCAUCAGCCCAUCCCAUCAGCCUGUCCCGUCAGUCAACCCAUCCCAUCAGCCUGUCCUGUCAGCCCGUCCCGUCAGCCCAUCCCGUCAGCCUGUCCUGUCAGUCAGCCCGUCCCAUCAUCCUGUCCCAUCAGCCUGUCCCGUCAGCCCGUCCCAUCAGCCUGUCCCGUCAGUCAGCCCGUCCUGUCAGCCUGUCCCAUCAGCCCAUCCCAUCACCCCAUCCCGUCAGCCUGUCCCAUCAGUCAGCCCUUCCCAUCAGCCCGUCCCAUCAGCCUGUCCCAUCAGUCAGCCUGUCCCAUCAGUCAGCCCAUCCCGUCAGCCCAUCCCGUCAGCCUGUCCCGUCAGUCAGUCCAUCCCGUCAGCCUGUCCCGUCAGUCAGCCCAUCCCGUCAGCCCAUCCUGUCAGCCCAUCCCAUCAGCCCGUCCCGUCAGCCUGUCCCAUCAGUCAGCCCAUC